rnacentral:rRNA from 1 species
CUACACUGCAGUCGAGCGGAGCACAGGAAGAGCUUGCUCUUUGGGCGACGAGCGGCGGACGGGUGAGUAAUGUCUGGGAAACUGCCUGAUGGAGGGGGAUAACUACUGGAAACGGUAGCUAAUACCGCAUAACGUCGCAAGACCAAAGAGGGGGACCUUCGGGCCUCUUGCCAUCAGAUGUGCCCAGAUGGGAUUAGCUAGUAGGUGGGGUAACGGCUCACCUAGGCGACGAUCCCUAGCUGGUCUGAGAGGAUGACCAGCCACACUGGAACUGAGACACGGUCCAGACUCCUACGGGAGGCAGCAGUGGGGAAUAUUGCACAAUGGGCGCAAGCCUGAUGCAGCCAUGCCGCGUGUAUGAAGAAGGCCUUCGGGUUGUAAAGUACUUUCAGCGGGGAGGAAGGCGGUGAGGUUAAUAACCUCAUCGAUUGACGUUACCCGCAGAAGAAGCACCGGCUAACUCCGUGCCAGCAGCCGCGGUAAUACGGAGGGUGCAAGCGUUAAUCGGAAUUACUGGGCGUAAAGCGCACGCAGGCGGUCUGUCAAGUCGGAUGUGAAAUCCCCGGGCUCAACCUGGGAACUGCAUUCGAAACUGGCAGGCUAGAGUCUUGUAGAGGGGGGUAGAAUUCCAGGUGUAGCGGUGAAAUGCGUAGAGAUCUGGAGGAAUACCGGUGGCGAAGGCGGCCCCCUGGACAAAGACUGACGCUCAGGUGCGAAAGCGUGGGGAGCAAACAGGAUUAGAUACCCUGGUAGUCCACGCCGUACACGAUGUCGACUUGGAGGUUGUGCCCUUGAGGCGUGGCUUCCGGAGCUAACGCGUUAAGUCGACCGCCUGGGGAGUACGGGCGCAAGGUUAAAACUCAAAUGAAUUGACGGGGGCCCGCACAAGCGGUGGAGCAUGUGGUUUAAUUCGAUGCAACGCGAAGAACCUUACCUACUCUUGACAUCCAGAGAACUUCCAGAGAUGGAUGGUGCCUUCGGGAACUCUGAGACAGGUGCUGCAUGGGUGUCGUCAGCUCGUGCUGUGAAAUGUUGAUUAAGUCCCGCAACGAGCGCCACCC